GUGCCAGGUUACAAAUCUGGCUGUCGUGAUGCCUAAAAAGCAUUGCAUAGCAAGGGCCGGGCAAGACCGGUGCCAGCCGCCGCGGUAACACCGGCGGCUCGAGUGGUAACCGUUAUUAUUGGGUCUAAAGGGUCUGUAGCCGGCCGGAUAAGUCUCUUGGGAAAUCUGGCAGCUUAACUGUCAGGCUUUCAGGAGAUACUGUCUGGCUCGAGGCCGGGAGAGGUGAGAGGUACUUCAGAGGUAGGGGUGAAAU
rnacentral:rRNA from 1 species